ACAACAUCCACAUGGCUUCUGCGCGUCACGAAACACACGAGAAAUUAAUCCAGACCCAGAAGGAGUUCCCGGCACCGAGGACCAAACCCACGACCAGCUAGAUGAGAAGCCGCUCGUCCACCAGCCUGGCUAAAGAGGUGAUGGCCACGGCGUUCUCAGAUGUCUCGUUGAAGGACCUGCGUAUGCCAGCCUGCAGCUCCUUGAUGAGGGUGGCAGACACCUCCCCGCGGAAGGCGAAGGCCAGCGUGCCCGCCACCAGCUGCAGCGUGAACACCAGCACCACCAACACAAAAUACUGCAGAGAGAAAGAGGCAGAGAGAGACCUGGGAGUAUAUGUUACCAGACUACCAGGGAACACCAAAUCUGUGCCAGUCUAUGCGGAUGGGUUAAGUAGACAGAGAUACAGAGGCCAUGUGAUAGUUUUACCCGACUUCUGCACCUUGAACGGAAAAACCACCCAUGAAAAUCCAAUUACUCUUCUCUGUGACCUUGGGAAACGGGCAUAAUGGGUGACCGAAACAUUCAAGAAUAUGGA